UAAACGUCAAGAUGACAUCACUUUUAUUCAGAGUUCGAACCAAUGGACCUCACUUAACACUCGACUCGUAAUCAAAUGAAAGUUCUUAUUAAUAGUGACGACUAAGACAAAAAUAUUAUGUAUAUUUGUAUUAGACAAGUGUUAGGGACUUCAGUGGGUGUGUAGCUGUUAUUUCGAUUCGAAAAGGCCCCAACUAAACUCCGCUCGCGCGCUGUGUAUACACCAAAGUCCACACCACAAAAAAGAAGCCCCGCAAACGUGGCUCCACUGUCGCUGAAAACAACAACACGGCAUAGUUCCUCAUAUUGGCAUGGGACAUCUUCCGUAGUACGAUCACAACAGUGCACGCACCUGAGCCAGCAAGUGCACGGCCUCGUGCGUGGCCUGCACGGAGAGCGUGUAGAGCGCGGCGAGGGCAGGCGGGCGGGGGGCGCGGCGCAGCAUGUGUGCGCGCGCGCCCGCGCACGCGUGCCGCAUGUCCUCCAGCGACGGCGUGCCCAGCAGCUCCGUUAUCAGCUCCAACUGCAAGUGGACAACAACAUAUUUGCCUGUCACAUUGCCUUGUUUCGAUGUUGAUUUUUCUUCAUGAUAAUCUGCAGAACUUACCUGUUGUACUGGGCUCUGCGCUUGAAACAGGAUACGUCUCCCGAGAAGCUCCCCGAAUAUACACCCAACCGACCACACGUCCACCGCGGCAGUGUAGUGGUUAGCGCCCAUCAGGAUCUCCGGCGCCCUG